rnacentral:rRNA from 1 species
CCUACGGGGGGCAGCAGUGGGGAAUAUUGCGCAAUGGGCGAAAGCCUGACGCAGCGACGCCGCGUGAGGGAUGAAGGUCUUCGGAUCGUAAACCUCUGUCAGCAGGGAAGAACGGUCACUGUGCUAAUCAGCAGUGAAUUGACGGUACCUGCAAAGGAAGCACCGGCUAACUCCGUGCCAGCAGCCGCGGUAAUACGGAGGGUGCGAGCGUUAAUCGGAAUUACUGGGCGUAAAGCGAUCGUAGGCGGUAUGUCAAGUCAAGGGUGAAAUCCCCGCGCUAAACGUGGGAACUGCCUUUGAAACUGGCAAACUGGAGUGUGUGAGAGGAUAGUGGAAGUCCAGGUGUAGGAGUGAAAGCCGUAGAUAGCUGUAGGAACAUCAGUGGCGAAGGCGACUAUCUGGCACAUAACUGACGCUGAGGAGCGAAAGCGUGGGUAGCAAACAGGAUUAGAUACCCUUGUAGUC